AGACAUGUGGAGUCCCAGCAGAGGCCAACCUGUGUCUCUUCAUCUCCGUGAGAAAGGUGCCCCCGAAGUGAAAGAGAUGGCCUGGUGGAAAGCCUGGGUAAGUGGGAGCUGGCAGGAGAUUUGGGUUCCUGCAUGGUGUUGGGUGCUGGUCACCAGGGAGUCCUGAGAAAUGUAAAGUCGCCCUUGGCUGGGAGUGGCUCAGUCUACAUUUGGCUGCCUCCUGGGCCAAGCAUGGAGGGUGGGAAGGGGCCGAGAAGAAACAGCCCCAGGCCUAGAGUGCCCACGGCAGGGAUGGGACCUGGGCCGGGAGACAGGCUGAUGAAGAAAUCUAGAAAUGCAAGGGGGAAGCUGAGGUUUGAGAAAAGUCCAGGGGAGGGACCCUUGCAGGGGUGGGGCCACUCAAAGGAGGGGGUAUCAUGGUUGAGCCUUGUGUGUAAAUGUGUAUGGGGUGCACACACGUGUGCAUUUGGGGAGAAUCAGGCAUACUGCUCCUGGCAGAGGGAACUGUGUGCAGAGGGUCAGAGGGCGGGGAGCUUGGCUUUGAGGGAAGCUGCUCAGCACAGCUCAAGGGUCCUGGUACCGGAGGAGAUGGACCUGGGGAAGCAGGCAGGGCCAGGUCCUGAAAGGCCUUGCCUGGCAGGCUGAGGAGUUAGGCUUUACCUUAAGAGAAGUGGGAAGGCACUGAAGGGCUUUGAGCAUGAGAGUAACCUGAACCUGCUGUUGGGGACCCAUCAAUGCCUUCACCUCAGGGAUCAAUGAUGUUCAUUUGUCAAGACUGGAGAGGGAAGAGGGGAAGCAGGAGGACCUGGCCUGCUAGAGCCUGGAGGAACCCGGGGCUCAGGGCAGCCCAUGCCCAGCAGAACUGAUGGGUUCUCGGGAGCUUUCUGUCUAUGGUUGAGCCUGAGGCCAUCGCUGUGCUAAGGAGUUGAAUAUCCAGAAGGGGACAGAGGUGACAUCUCCCGGCUGCCGGCUCUGCACACCCUUUUCCUUUCCUCCCAGGCAGCCUCAGGAUGUCAGGGCUGCACUUUCUGUUUUGCAGAUGAUGAAAUGAAGGCUCAGAGACACUGAGUGACUUGCUAGGGUCCAAUGGCCAGCAGGCUCCAGUCAGAGAGCAGUUGGGUCUCUCUGCCCAGCCCCAGGUUCUCUGUGAGCUUUUGUGGGAUACCCAGGCUUGUCCAGCUUCAGGGAGUCUCUGGAUCAUAGAUGUCGCAACCCAAGCAAGUGUCCUCAGGGUCAGACAUGCUAGGUUCUGGACAGGUGGGACAAAGAGGAAGCCAGGCUGAGGUGGGGCAGCUGUCCUGGCCCCCAGGGAAGCAGACUUCUUCCAGGACAAGGGGCCAUGGAGGCCUGCAGCUUCAACCAGACUGCUGGGAACCUGCCUUUGAGGAGGUGGACAUGGCAGGGAGAGCCCAGUGCUGGGUGGUUUCCAAAGUCAGUUGCUGGCCAAGGUAGUCUGGCACUGGGCCUUGCACCCAGUGCAGCAGGACAAAGGGCUGUCCAUGUAGGGACCUGCCAAAUUGACAGGAUCACUGUGACACUCACUGAGUCCCUACUCUGUGGCCGGACCCUUCUCUAAGCACCUCACAUUCAAUAUCUCCCUUGAACCUCACAAGGAGUCUAUGAAGUAGACACCAGUAUCCUUAUCCACAGAUGAGGAAACUGAGGCACAAGUAGGCUAGGCAGGUGCCCGAACUCACUAGUAAGUGUGAGAGUCUAGGUGAGAAUCUGAACAGCCUGACUCCAGGGCCAAAACCAUACCCUGGUCGUCCAUACCCCAUGUGAGAGCUGGCUCGGGGUAGCAAGUUCACAGGUAGACCCCACCUGCAACAGCUGAGCUGCUAGCGAAGACCCAGUGUCCUCUAGGCACAAAGCUGGGCCAGGAACGGGAUGGGAGGAGAUGAGGGAGCCACUGGAGAGAGAUCUGUCUGCAGGCAGGGCCCAUCUGCACCUCUCUUUUUGGUGUUGCCUUUUCCUCUGUGUCUCUCAUAGAGACAAACCCAUCUCCCAGGCCUCUGGGCAGCCACAUAGCAGGGGAAGGCCAAGGCGUGGCAGCUCCCCUGUGCCUGUCACAGAACAAGUUAUAUUAAUAGAUGUAGUCACAGGCUGGUCUGAGUCACCUUUUCAGUGAAAAUGUGCCUGUCUGGACUAGCACGGCCCUGGGCAAGACCCUGCAGGAGCCUGAGGCUGACCCUUCCUUCUCAGCAGGAGGUCUGGAGCUCCAGGACUCCACACUGAUAGCCAGGGCUCCGAUUCCCAGAACACUUAUUUUCUAAAACCUUAGAGUGGGAAGUGAGACAGAGGCUUCUCAAUGCAGCAAAAUCAGAACCAGCCCGGGAGCUGCUUACAAAUGCUGCACCUGAGACCUACCGCACCCCUGCGGGACUGCAUGCUCCUCAGGGAUGCGGUUACACAGCCUGGGCACUCGCUGGUGCACCACAGCCCCCGAGUGCUGGGGCAGAGGGAAGCCGGCAGGCACUGAGAGCUGAGAUGCCUCCCACAUUCCCAGACGACCUGCGUUCCUGUGGGUGAAGCUUCCUUCAGUGGAACGUUCCAGGAACACUCAUUGCCUGGGAAAGGUGGAGUCAUCAGUAGGGCAGGGGAGGUAGAUAGAGCUCAGCUUCUGAGUCAGGCUGGGGAGUCCCAACAGCAUCGCUUACUAGCUGUGUAAGGGAGUCCAGAUCCCUUUCUGUAAAGUGAGGCAUCAGUACUUACCUAGCACAACUGUUGAGGAAGCCAUGACAUAAGCAUUGCUUCUAAAGCACCUGGCCCAGGUCUGGCACACACAAGGGGCUUGAAGUGCUAACAGGAGUAAUAGCAGAGCGUGACUCCACAAGCAAGGGAUAUCGUGUGUGUGGACACCGAUGAGCACAACUUUAUUUGUUUUUAAACAUUCAGGGCCUAGUAGAUAGCAGGCUUUCAACAAAUAUUUUUGAAUAACAACAAACAAGAGUAUGGACUUUGGGAACAGGAGAGCCUAGUAGCCAGCGAGCCUGAGCCAAUCCUUGAUGGCCUCCAAUUCUGAGAAGACUCUCUGGGCCCCCUUAGGCUCCCUGUGGAAGAAAGCUUCCCCAGUCAAUCCUAAUAAAAAUACUUCUGAGACAGAUCUAACAGGACAAAGUGGAGUCUCUCCACUCUUUCAGUAGCUCCUCAGGGAAGGUGAAAGCUGUGCAGAGUUUUGCAGGAUGACUCAGUGCUUAUCAGGUAGACAGAUAAGGAAGAACAUUCCAGGGAGAGGGAGGAAUGCUAACAACAGCAGGGGAUCUGGUCUGUACUAGACAUGCCAAAGGAAUGGUGUGUCCAUAUCAACAGAGGAGGGAGAGACAGAAGAGAAAGAGCUUGUCAGGGCCUGAGUCAGAGCGGGCUCAUGCUGUGGGGCUAAGAAGCUCAAACGAUUUCCAGAGACAGUGGGGAAGCUUUACAGGGACAGGCAGGGGAGGAUCUUAACCCGGCUUUCGUAAGCCUCUGGCUUGAGUAUGGAAGGUGAGUCUGGGACAGGGAGCCCAGCGCCGAAGUGUUGCAACAGUAUAGGGAGACAUACAGACCAAUUCCCUCCCACCUAACAGCUCUGUGCUUUGGGGUCCUGGGUUAGUUUCCUGGGAGAAGGCUGGCCUUGGCUACCUCUGUCCUUGACCAAGGACAUCGUUUUAAAUAUUUGUGAUGUGUCCUAGGCCACUGCAUCUCUGUCCCUGUAGCGAAGAGAAGAUACUGAUUCCUAAGCUCCUACUCUGAGAACACAAAUAUCUGCAAUACCUCGGUAAGCCCUAGGCCUGAGUGUGAGGUUGCAGGCACUUCCAUGGCCCCAUGCAGGUGUCCAAGUUCCCUCGUGGUAUUUGGCCAAGGGGGGCCCUGUGUGAUGCCCUAGCGCGGUGACUACCCGUGUUCCUGGCCCAUGGGCAUCUUCCACGGAAUUC
rnacentral:lncRNA from 1 species